rnacentral:rRNA from 1 species
GACGAACGCUGGCGGCGUGCCUAAUACAUGCAAGUCGAACGAGAGCGACCGGUGCUUGCACUGGUCAAUCUAGUGGCGAACGGGUGAGUAACACGUGGGUAACCUGCCCAUCAGAGGGGGAUAACAUCCGGAAACGGAUGCUAAAACCGCAUAGGUCUUCGAGCCGCAUGGCUUGAAGAGGAAAAGAGGCGCAAGCUUCUGCUGAUGGAUGGACCCGCGGUGCAUUAGCUAGUUGGUGAGGUAACGGCUCACCAAGGCCGUGAUGCAUAGCCGACCUGAGAGGGUGAUCGGCCACAUUGGGACUGAGACACGGCCCAAACUCCUACGGGAGGCAGCAGUAGGGAAUCUUCCGCAAUGGACGCAAGUCUGACGGAGCAACGCCGCGUGAGUGAAGAAGGUUUUCGGAUCGUAAAACUCUGUUGUUAGAGAAGAACAAGUGCUAGAGUAA